rnacentral:rRNA from 1 species
GAUGAACGCUGGCGGCGUGCCUAAUACAUGCAAGUCGAGCGAAGCGGGGACGGGUGAGUAACACGUGGAUAACCUCCUAUAAGACUGGGAUAACUUCGGGAAACCGGAGCUAAACCGGAUACUUAUAGUUGAAUCCGCCUGUCAUUAGCUAGUUGGUAAGGUAACGGCUUACCAAGGCAACGGUGCAUAGCCGACCUGAGAGGGGGUUCGGCCACCCUGGGGCUGAGACACGGUCCAGAGUCCUACGGUGAGCAGCAGUAGGGGAUCUUCCGCAAUGGGCGAAAGCCUGACGGAGCAACGCCGCGUGAGUGAUGAAGGUCGUCGGAUCGUAAAACUCUGUUAUUAGGGAAGCGGUACCUAAUCAGAAAGCCACGGCUAACUACGUGCCAGCAGCCGCGGUAAUAC